UACGAGGGGGGCGAGCGUUGUUCGGAAUUAUUGGGCGUAAAGGGUGCGUAGGCGGUUUGGUAAGUCUUGUGUGAAAUCUCCAGGCUCAACUUGGAGUCUGCACGAGAAACUGCCGGGCUUGAGUGUGGGAGAGGUGAGUGGAAUUCCUGGUGUAGCGGUGAAAUGCGCAGAUAUCAGGAGGAACACCGAUGGCGAAGGCAGGUCUCUGGGCCGAUACUGACGCUGAGGAGCGAAAGCGUGGGGAGCGAACAGG
rnacentral:rRNA from 1 species